CCCUUAGUAACUGCGAGUGAAGUGGGAAGAGCUCAAAUUUAAAAUCUGGCAGUCUCCUUUUUUCUUUUUUGGCUGUCCGAAUUGUAAUCUAGAGAAGUGUUUACCCGUGCUGGACCGUGUAUAAGUCUCCUGGAACGGAGUGUCAUAGAGGGUGAGAAUCCUGUUUUUGACAUGGACUCCCAGUGCGUUGUGGUGCGCUCUCAAAGAGUCGAGUUGUUUGGGAAUGCAGCUCUAAAUGGGUGGUAAACUCCAUCUAAAGCUAAAUAUGGGCGAGAGACCGAUAGCGAACAAGUACCGUGAGGGAAAGAUGAAAAGCACUUUGGAAAGAGAGUUAAAAAGUAUGUGAAAUUGUUGAAAGGGAAACACUUGAGGUCAGCUGUGUCAGAUAGGGAUCAACCUGGUUCUUUUGCUGGGUGAAUUUCCUAGGCUUGACAGGCCAACAUCAGUUUUGACUGCUGGAAAAGGGCGGAGGGAAUGUGGCACUCUCGAGUGUG
rnacentral:rRNA from 1 species